CGCCGCGGGGCUUCGUGCCGGCGUGAGGCGCCUCAGGGCCCCGGUCCCAUCGCCCGCUCUGCAGCAUGGGACACGCGGUAGGAAGGUAAACAGGUGCCCAGCGGCCUGAAGUAACUCGUCCGGGUACCAGAGGCAGGUUGGUGGCCAAGCCGAGACUCCGUGGUCCCAGCUCGUUUCCCCGCUCUCGAGGCCGGGCGAUGCGGCAUCCUCCUUGCAGCGGCUGCCCCCGCGGUGCGGAGCAGCGGGCGGCCGCCCCUCAGCACCCCCAGAGGCCGGGCACUAGUGUGCUGGGUGCUCGCUGUGCUGCGGGUUUCAAAAGGCAAAAAUAAAGCAUUGAUACACGUUGAAGAUCAGUGCAGGAGGGUUAGACAACUUAAGGCCUUGGAAGCUACAGCGAAAAACACACAUCUCCUKUUGCAUCCAAUACAUACAGUCCCAGGGUGGGCUGGAGCUGCGUCUGCAUCCCCGCUUCAGCGCUGCCAUUGUCCGUGCCCAGCAGGUAGUGAACUCCUGUGGCCAGGGCCAGAAACACCCGAGCGAGGCUGCAGGAAGGGCAGCCCUGGCCAGCAGCUGCCUCCUCCGAUGAACUGCACGAUAUUGCCAUGUAACCAGACCCGAACCUGGAUUACAGUUUGGCUUGUCUGGGAUUUCUCCAWUUGAUGCCAGCAUCAGAGGCUGGAGAUGCUGGAUGUGAACAGUCCUGUGAACUCCAAUCCAUUUUGCUACUUCUCUUCCAUCUCUCAUGYGUAAUCAAAGGUCAGAGCCAUUAUUUUGGGUUCUUCAUGCAGGAGAAUUUAUGAGUAAUGUUUUUUCGUAGUUGCAUAUAAAUCUAAACCCAUUAUGUAUUAUCUUUUCAGGAAAUAAUCCUUUAUCAGCAGACAUGGAAGUGCCUAGACAGCCAUUACAUCUCUAAAACAUGACAAAGAGCACAACAUCAAGGAGUGCUAUCGUGCUGCUGUGUUUUGAAGAAUGAUGUGCUGCAACAAAUGUUUAUUUUUCCUGACUGAUGUGAAAGAUGUAAAAGAAAGCUGUUUUUAAAGAUCAUAUUGGGGAAUUGAUCUCAGGAAGAAAGAUUAUCCUUGAAAUAACCUUUCCUAUGUCUGAAAGAAUACAGUUUCAGAAGUAACUAUAGAUGUGUUUGAAUGGGAAGAGAUUCUCAGAAUGAGGUGUGAUUAUUCCUCAGCACAGAUGUUCUCACCAGUGCCUGUUCACUGUGCAAUGAACCUUUCGAGAGAUGCAAUUAGAAUUGCUUAGUACUGUUGGGAGCUCUGAGCAUUAGAGACCUAGGACUGGAUCUGCAACAGAGUUCAAGAUGCACUUCCCUCAGCAGGGAGUAUAGGAGUGUGAUGGCUUUGUUCAGGUUUGAAAUCAAGGAACCAAAAGGGUGUUCGAGCACCAACUUGUCCCCAUGUAAUUUACAGCAACUUUAAGGCAAUCUCUGUGGAGAUCAAGGGCAUUUCUGGUACUCUGUGCUAGUACAGUAGUUCUGUCACUUUUAACUAGUGCUGCUUUACAGAGCCAGCUCUGCGUGUAGGCAAAACUCAGUUUUGCUGACCCCAGGAAGAGGACAAAUUAACGACACAAUUCAACUUUGCAUUGGCAGCGCAGUGGCUUAUAUACCAGGAUUGAGGUACCAACUCAAAUAAGCACUUUGCCCUCCCCAAAAUAGUCUUGUUUUCUGUGUGCCUGGCUCUAUUCUACCUCCUUGGCCUUCCCCUUGUCAACACUAAGGAUCUUGCAAAAGAGUGAGAUCCUGCCAGCUGGUGGGAGGGGAAAUGAAAAGGAGAAUGAUCAAUCAUCCUGUUCCCUUACAAAAUAUUUCCUUUUUCUGCUGUGGAGCAGAGAGUAGCAGAACUACUCUCUGCACAGCCUCUCACUGUGCUGGGGUGCAGCCUGAUGCAGGUAGAUACCAUAGCUGCCCAUGCUUCACCUCAUCAGGAUUAGAGAGGCUGGCAUCAGAAAAAACUCCUCCUUCACUGAAUUAGUGUUAGGUAGGCACAUAACCAUUACUGAUUGCUGCUGUGAGACUUGCUACUGCACUUAAUGUGGCUUCAUCAGUUGAGCAUCAGCCUUUGGCUGUGCCUCAGUCCUCUGCUCCCAUGCUGUGAAAUGGACAGGUAUAUGGCUUCUAGCUGUAAUGUCAUCCAUAUUCUCCCUGUAUUGUAGGAGUCCUUAGGGACAAGAUGUAUCAGAUAUUCAGCCUGUUUGCACCACUGCAAUAUCACAAAACACAUGGAAACUGCUUUGUGCCUGCUUUUUUAGGUUAGAAAAGCUUGAUGUAAAUGCCUAUUUGCAGUUAUUGAUACAAGGUACUUCUCCUUUCUGGGUGAAGGCAGUCAUAAUGUUCCUAUUUUUAAAAUAUGAUACUUAAAUUAUGAUAUAGUUAAUUGGUAAGUUCCUUGAUAAGCAGAAAGGAAUCUGCGUAGGGGAAGAUCCUAAAGAAAAUAAUUAUACAUCAUUCAGUUAGAACUGAAAUGGAAGACCAAACUAUGAGAUCAGAACAUAGAGAUAAUGAUUUAUAAUGCGUGAAUCAAUGAAGAAGGGUAAGCAAUGGUAAGGCACAGACAUUCAUAAAAGGAUAAUAAGGCAUAGAUCUAGAUGAUUAUGAUUAAAGAGGAUGAAACUUCACCUGUUACAAUCUGUCCAAAGGCUCAGGAAGUAUAGUGCCCCCAUCACCUGCUUUUGAUCAUGUCACUCCUGUUGUUCCCUUUUCCCUUUUCUGUCAGCAUGGUUCAUGGUCUCACCUUUCCCAGGGCUUUGUCUUUAAAGCGUAGGAGGCUGUGCACUUCACCUCUGAAUUUCUCUUUAGUCCCUGACAUCUCUGUAAGAAUCAUUACUUCCCCUCUUGGAAGGAGACAGGAACCUUGAGCUCAUAUUCUAGUCUAGCCUGUGGACUUUGUAGAGAGCAGAAAGAACUGUUCUUUUCUAUCACUUUUGACUUCUUUGAGUGGUUUCACACAAUGGCUGUUUAUCAGGUGUCAUCCCCUCUUCCACCAACUGCUGCCUCCCAGCAUUGUCCUGGGUCCUCUGUUCCAACUCUCUUUCAUGCCAUUUGAAUAGUUGAGAAGAUACUACAGAUUUUURAAGUUUCACUCAAAUGUUUUAUUAAUUGAGAACUACAGAUGUGAAUUAACUAAAACUGUUCAUGAGUCUGAGACAUUAUCUAUCAGUACUUUAACAGCUUAUAAAAAGGUGGAAUAGUGUGAAAGUUUUGACAUCUUUUAAAGAAUGGUUUGAUUUAUCAUUUCAAAAUAACAGCCCAAAUAAAUAAAAUAAAUUACCUUCUGGAAUGAGAUUG
ensembl:lncRNA